UGUAGUUACAACAGGUUGUAGUUACAACAGGUUGUUACAACGGGUAGUAGUAACAACAGGUAGUAGUUACAACAGGUUGUUACAACAGGUAGUAGUAACAACAGGUAGUAGUUACAACAGGUUGUUACAACAGGUAGUAGUAACAACAGGUAGUAGUUACAACAGGUAGUUACAACAGGUUGUUACAACAGGUUGUAGUUACAACAGGUUGUAGUUACAGCAGGUUGUUACAAUAGGUAGUAGUUACAACAGGUUGUUACAACAGGUAGUAGUAGCAACAGGUAGUAGUUACAACAGGUUGUUACAACAGGUUGUAGUUACAACAGGUUGUAGUUACAACAAGUCGUUACAACAGGUAGUAGUUACAACAGGUUGUUACAACAGGUUGUAGUUACAGCAGGUUGUAGUUAAAACAGGUUGUUACAACAGGUUGUAGUUACAGCAGGUUGUAGUUACAACAGGUUGUUACAACAGGUAGUAGUAACAACAGGUAGUAUUUACAACAGGUUGUUACAACAGGUUGUAGUAGCAACAGGUAGUAGUUACAACAGGCUGUUACAACAGGUUGUAGUUACAGCAGGUUGUAGUUACAACAGGUAGUAGUUACAACAAGUCCUUACAACAGGUAGUAGUUACAACAGGUUGUAGUUACAGCAGGUUGUAGUUACAACAAGUCAUUACAACAGGUAGUAGUUACAACAGGUUGUUACAAUAGGUAGUAGUUACAACAGGUUGUUACAACAGGUAGUAGUAACAACAGGUAGUAGUUACAACAGGUUGUUACAACAGGUUGUAGUGACAACAGGUUGUAGUUACAGCAGGUUGUAGUUACAACAAGUCGUUAAAACAGGGUGUAGUUACAGUAGGUUGUAGUUAUAGCAGGUUGUAGUUACAACAAGUCGUUAAAACAGGGUGUAGUUAAAGCAGGUUGUAGUUACAACAAGUCGUUAAAACAGGGUGUAGUUACAGUAGGUUGUAGUUAUAGCAGGUUGUAGUUAGAACAAGUCGUUAAAACAGGGUGUAGUUAAAGCAGGUUGUAGUUACAACAAGUCGUUAAAACAGGGUGUAGUUACAGUAGGUUGUAGUUACAACAGGUUGUAGUUACAACAGGUUGUAGUUACAGUAGGUUGUAGUUACAACAGGUUGUAGUUACAACAGGUUGUAGUUACAACAGGUUGUUACAACAGGUUGUAGUUACAGCAGGUUGUAGUUACAACAGGUUGUUACAACAGGUUGUAGUUACAGCAGGUUGUAGUUACAACAGGUUGUUACAACAGGUAGUAGUAACAACAGGUAGUAUUUACAACAGGUUGUUACAACAGGUUGUAGUAGCAACAGGUAGUAGUUACAACAGGCUGUUACAACAGGUUGUAGUUACAACAGGUUGUAGUUACAGCAGGUUGUAGUUACAACAAGUCGUUAAAACAGGGUGUAGUUACAGUAGGUUGUAGUUAUAGCAGGUUGUAGUUAGAACAAGUCGUUAAAACAGGGUGUAGUUAAAGCAGGUUGUAGUUACAACAAGUCGUUAAAACAGGGUGUAGUUACAGUAGGUUGUAGUUACAACAGGUUGUAGUUACAGUAGGUUGUAGUUAUAGCAGGUUGUAGUUACAACAGGUUGUAGUUACAACAGGUUGUAGUUACAACAGGUAGUAGUAACAAUAGGUAGUAGUUACAACAGGUAGUAGUUACAACAGGUUGAUAGACAAGUAGGCCUAGUCACAACACACAUUCAUCAAACUAAAUGUAAAUAGGUACAUUGUUGUUGUGUGCGAGAAGGAAUUUGAAAUCCAUUUAAUAAAUUGUUGUAUUUUAAUGUUGUGCUACUGUACAGCCUUUUGCACUGUCUUGUCCUGCAGAGCAGAGGCCAUGAGUUCAUGUCUCAUGUAUUUGUAAUGGGUUUAGGAGAGGAGACUUCAAUGCAUGUACCCAUACCGCAAAUUAAAAAAGCACAGUGUAGCCAAGCUAAGGACUCUGGAAGAAUAUUUAAUUAAGUGCCUGAAAAACUUCUCUCAUAUUUUCUGUUUCUCAUUUUAACCAAAUCAUUUCACAUUCAGAGUUGUUUUCUGGACAUGAAUGAAAAAAGCACUGCGUUUCACAGUCAAAGGUUUCUGUGUUUUGGAUUCCUUUCAUGUCCAGCAUAGUGUAUACCGAACCAACACAAAGGAGACAUGAACUCUGUAUGGGUUGUCUUUGAAAGAGCUGAUCGAAAUUAAAUGGACGUUGAUAUCCUAGUUUCCCACCAUCUAAAUAAAGAAGCAAAAACAUGAAAGUAGCAUAAAACAGAGAGAAUGUGGUUAUUGUCUUCUCUGCCUGUCCAUUUUCUUUUUCGAGACGGACAAAACAUUGUCUGAUGCUUUGUGAUAAAACUGAAGACCAAGCACUGAUACAACCAUCCACACGUUGUAAAGGCAUGUCAUAAAAGGAAAUAAAGGAAAUAUGGACA